AAUAUUGGAACAUACAAAAAAAGAAACAUUUUGUUGACUGUAGAGAACCUCGGUCCAAUCGCACAUUCCUGUGACUGCGACUUUGCAUUUGGAUGUCAUCCAUAUCAACUUUCGAUGCCAGUUUCUGCACCUACCAUGGUGACCACGAGUAACAGGGAAUCAGGGUUCCAUUCCGUACAGGGACCCUGAGAAAUGGCUACCACAUGCAAGGAAGGCAAUAGGUGCGCAAAUGACCCACUCCUGACGCGGGAAGGUAGUGA